GGACCCGCCCACCUGCAUGCAGCUGUGGAAGAACAAGCCCAGACACGUUUCUUCACGGAGCCCAAGGAAAACACUUUACCGAACUCAUAUGGGAUGGCCCUGUAAGUUGUGCAGCACUGUUGUACCAACCAAGAGUGACAUUUUAAAGCAUUACAGACUGCACCAUGGGACCUUUGGACACAGCCAUUCCUUGCACUGCAUUCAUGUAGGUUGCCCAUGCUCUUAUACAUCCCUUUGCUCUCAUCUGUCAAGAUGCUAGACUUCUCCUCUCUGACACCACCGCCAGAGAGUCUAGCUCCACUCCCACCACGUUACAGGCCUUCUCUACCAACUUGUCCAGUCUGUUUGCGUCCCUCGCUCUCAGCCCGCUGCCCCAGCAGGCCACGGCGUACAAGAAGGCGCCUGCCACCACCGACUCGUAGAAUAUCUUCUAUUCUAUUCUAUUCUAUUUUUCCUGACCAAGUUUCCAUUGUGACUUGGACAUGACAUACUAGACUCACUUUUUGCCUGAAAAUGUAUACUAAUACCCUUAAUAUCAGUAAUGGUCAACAUUUGCUGUCUUACAGAUUAAUGAAGCGUUCCGAAGGUGCACUGCUGUUCCACUGGAAUCAACAUUUAUGUCCCAACUGGACAGGUACACUCCAAAACUCCUGGAGCUCUUCAGUGCAAAAGGAGGAGUGACUGCAGCGCAUCAAGAACUUGUUGAUGGAACUGACACAGGACCCAAGUGCCUCUGCAGUGAAGAAGAGAGAUGUGACUGUGAGAUGCCUCAUAGAGUACGUGGGAGAGAGUGGACAGGAGCUAAUCUCUGACUACUGGAACUGCAGAGACCGCUGUUCAUGAGGACCUGGAAAUGAAGAAUAUGAGCAUCUACAUCUGUCGUGAGCCAAAUGCAGUAGAAAUCAUCAUUGAGGGAGUACCAGUCCUUACUCAUCUUGGAAACCUGGUCAAAGCAUGCUGCCUACUUCUGGGGUUGACGUAUGCACUUAAUCUUGAGUAUCCAUCCAAACUUUCCAAAACAUUUGAGGUGUUUCAAAGACAUUUUGUGGGACUUGACACACUGCGCCCAAAACCAACCCCCAAAUUCAUGACUCUCAAAAACAAGCUUCUAGCUUAGGCAGUGAGCCAUGACUGUCAGCUUGCACUUUUGAACAGCUAUUUUCUUGUGUCUGUUCAAAAUCAUUAUACAUUGUUCAUUGAGUGGAAUUCUUCAGAAUGUUGUAACGGUUUGUCCUGUUCAGGUUUUAUACAAAGCUCCAGGUCAUCGUUUCUGGUGUGUAAAUUAAGUUUUUUUAUGUUUUAUACACACUAAAUUGCCCCACUGUGAAGCUCCAGCUGGUCAGAAGGAGGGAUCUGUGAGUUGUUUAAGUUAAAAUGUUUCAAAAUAUACACACUGAAAGACACUACAGUGAAAGUGUUCUGCUUGUAAAUUGUUACAGAAGUACAGAUAAUCUUAAUGUUAAAUUGUUUUAGCAAGAAACUGUACUGUGAAUGUUCUAAGUAAAACUUGAGAUGCUGAGGUCAUGCAUUCUUUUAUGCACUAAAUACUGAUGUUCUUGACUGUUAAUACUGUCCAGCUUAUUGACAGGUUUGGAUAUGGCUUGUGAAAAUGUUUUAAUAUGUAUACGGUUAAAAAAAAGAAAACUACUGUGAAGGUGUUAAUUACAGCACUUUAGUUGAGGUCAUGCAUUCUUGUAUAAUAUGGAUGUUGACUGUUCAUACUGUCCAGCUCAUUGCCACUGUUUUUAUAUGGUAAUGAUUUAAUAAAGGUUGGAAUUUGAUAUGUCUUGAUUUUUUUAUUAUUAUUCUAAGUAAUUAUUUUAAGCAGUUUCCAUUUUCAAAACAAAGAAAGGGUAAGUUGGUCAAAAUUAAUAAAAU